UGUUUGUGAGACGGGUCAGAGGUAUUAGAUUUUGCUGAAAUGGUACUGUGAACCUUGUAGUUUCUCAAUUCCAAACACCCUCCCUUAUCUGUCUACCCAUCAGAAAAAUUUCAAAUUCUGUGACCUGACCUUUCCUUUCCUUUCAAUCGCUAGCAUUGGCCUUGCCCUUGCCCUUGCUUGCUAGGGUUUGGACUUUGGAGUUGGACUCUUUGCUCAGACGCAUGAGGCUACUAGAAUUGUGAUCGAUCACUUCACCUUCUUCUGAUAGGAGACAACAAGUUUGAUACUGUAACUCUCAAGAUAUGGGAUGUUUAGUGUCAACACCAAAGGAUUCUGGUGGAAAUAGGAGGAGGCCAGGAAACAUUGGUGAAAUUUCUGUGUAUGUACCAGGUUUACGAAUUCCCAAGCCUGUUGAUUUCUUUCAAUCACUCGGCGGUCACUUGUCAAAAACAUUAGUGGAACGCCUUACCGCCUUGAGAACUCGUAUAGUUGUUAUGGCUGGCCAAGAAGGCCCCACAAUUACAAGAACAAGGAGGAAAACACAGCAUGGGGGUUCAACAUUGGCAGAUCUUCAUCAGGCUCUUGAGGACUACUUGCCUGUGCUUUUGGGAUUAAUCAAAGAUGGAAGCCAGCUACAAUUCAAAGUUCAGUUUAUUUGGGUAAAUCAGGAGGAUGAUGCUGAGGAAACAGCCAUGUUUAAUGCUUGGUAUGAGGUGUUGUCAGUAUUGCAUUUGAUGGCGAUGUUAUCAUUAUCACAAGCCAACUUAUUGCUUCUUCCAAGGACUUCUGCUGAUGGUUAUCAACCCAAAGCAUCAGAAGAAAGCAGGCGAGCUUCUAUUGAUAUUUUCUUGAAGGCAGCUGGAUACUUGGAUUGUGCUGUCAGACAUGUUCUACCUCAGUUGCCAUCUGAACUCAGGAGAAAUUUACCAGUAGACCUAGCAGAAGGAGUUCUUCGAGCACUUUGUUUGCAAGCAUUAGGGCAGGGUGUUGAUAUCCAGCUUGGAUUGGCAAUUGAUAGCACCAAGGCUACACUUGCUGUGAAGCGAAGGCUUGCAUGUGAGAUGGUAAAGUACUGGCAGCAGGCUCAAGAUAACAUUAUGAAUCUUCAAUUAUCAAAUGGCUGGGGUGAAAAGCAUCGACAUUUUGUGAAGUGGAAAUACAUUGAAGCUAAGGCUGCAGCAUAUUAUUAUCAUGGAUUAAUCCUCGAUGAGGGAAAUACAGAGAAAUCCCAUGGUAUGGCUGUAGCUGCUUUGCAAGCUGCUGAUGAAUAUUUCAAAGAAAGUAAGAAGGCCUGUGAGGUGUUUAAUGCAGCUCAUCCUUUGUCCAGAAAUCCACCCCUUUGGGGAACAAUGAAGUAUCUCUCUGAGAAAAUUCCAAAAGACACUUCUAGCAAGGUGCGGAUAAACCGUGACCUCUACUCUCAUGAAAAAAUCAUGGAGACAGCUCCAACUUUACCAGAUUUUGCUUUAGCAUUGAAACCUGAUGAAUAUCAACUACCUCCAGCGGAUCCCUCAUGGAACGAGAAUGUACAAAGCCACAUUGGCAUUAAUCAGGUCAAGUCUGAUAAAAGAUAGUUGUGAGUGAUAAUUCUUGUAUCAAAGAGAUACAAGGGCCAGCCACAAAACAAAAUACAGAUAUAUUCUGUCUUUUCAUUUUCUUAUUUCUUCACAAUAUCUUUUUUCCCCAUAAAUAUGCUGUAAUAAGGCCUUGCUCAAGCUCAUGUUGCGUGUAAAUUGACCUAUUGGGAGUUGUUCUGAUAAAUGUAUGCCUUCUUCUUCUUUUCUUUUUGCUA